rnacentral:rRNA from 1 species
GACGAACGCUGGCGGCGUGCUUAACACAUGCAAGUCGAACGGAAAGGCCCUGCUUUUGUGGGGUGCUCGAGUGGCGAACGGGUGAGUAACACGUGAGUAACCUGCCCUUGACUUUGGGAUAACUUCAGGAAACUGGGGCUAAUACCGGGUAGGAGCUCCUGCUGCAUGGGGGGGGUUGGAAAGUUUCGGCGGUUGGGGAUGGACUCGCGGCUUAUCAGCUUGUUGGUGGGGUAGUGGCUUACCAAGGCUUUGACGGGUAGCAGGCCUCAGCGGGUGACCGGCCACACUGGGACCGAGAUACGGCCGCGACAGCGACGGGAGGGAGGAGUGGGGAAGAUUGACGAAUGGGCGGCAGGCUAGUGCAGCAACGCCGCGUGUCGGAUGACUGCCUUCGGGUGGUAGACCGCUUGUGCCAGUGACUAAGCGUGAGUGAAGGGAAUGGGUACAGAAGGACAGGCUUACUUCCUU